rnacentral:rRNA from 1 species
AAGCAGUUAAGAAGAUUCUUCGGAUGAUUCUUAACUGACUGAGCGGCUGACGGGUGAGUAACGCGUGGGUGACCUGCCCCAUACCGGGGGAUAACAGCUGGAAACGGCUGCUAAUACCGCAUAAGCGCACAGAGCUGCAUGGCUCGGUGUGAAAAACUCCGGUGGUAUGGGAUGGGCCCGCGUCUGAUUAGGCAGUUGGCGGGGUAACGGCCCACCAAACCGACGAUCAGUAGCCGGCCUGAGAGGGCGACCGGCCACAUUGGGACUGAGACACGGCCCAAACUCCUACGGGAGGCAGCAGUGGGGAAUAUUGCACAAUGGGGGAAACCCUGAUGCAGCGACGCCGCGUGAGCGAAGAAGUAUUUCGGUAUGUAAAGCUCUAUCAGCAGGGAAGAAAAUGACGGUACCUGACUAAGAAGCACCGGCUAAAUACGUGCCAGCAGCCGCGGUAAUACGUAUGGUGCAAGCGUUAUCCGGAUUUACUGGGUGUAAAGGGAGCGCAGGCGGUCUGGCAAGUCUGAUGUGAAAAUCCGGGGCUCAACUCCGGAACUGCAUUGGAAACUGUCAGACUAGAGUGUCGGAGAGGUAAGUGGAAUUCCUAGUGUAGCGGUGAAAUGCGUAGAUAUUAGGAGGAACACCAGUGGCGAAGGCGGCUUACUGGACGAUAACUGACGCUGAGGCUCGAAAGCGUGGGGAGCAAACAGGAUUAGAUACCCUGGUAGUCCACGCCGUANACGAUGAAUACUAGGUGUCGGGGCACAAAAGUGC